ACGGUAAGUGCCAUAAAAAUGUUUGUUAUUAAAAAGAAUUUAUGCAGAGAAGAUUAGCAUGGCCCCAGCACAAGGGUAACACAAAAUUCGUCAAGUGUCCCAUAUUGAA